ACCUUUUCUACCUUCCUUUCUCAGUAGGGUUCUUGUAAUUCUUUAUGGUGGUGAUUGAGCUGAUGGGCCAAUCUGCAAAUACUGCUGAGCGCUGACUGGGAGAACUGCCAAGUUGGCUUGAACUACCUAGGAAGAAAUCAAGGAGACUGUAACCUGAGCCAGUGAGGACAAAAAAGUCAAUUACCAGAAAGGAUGGAAGUACAACUAUAUGAUGGAAAGGAACCACAUGGUCUGGGUUCUAUCCCUGACUCUGAUGCUCAUCAGGGAGAUGAUCAGAAGACACCAGGAUUGGUUGGGGCUAGAAGAAGGAGAGGGAAAAACACCUUUCUGGUUCCUGACAUUCUCAAGGCCUAACUGUCCUUUGACUCCAGGCUGUGGAUAAGAACCAUUUUUUAAAAAGUAUGUCAUCAUGCAACUGGGAAAUAAGAAAUACAGGAAAUGGGGUACAGAAAUCUAUCCUGAACUACAGGAAAAUAGAAGGGGAGAUGAGAUAGAAGGGAGGGCAGAUUAGAGAAAGGGGUAUACAGAAUGCAUGCCAUCUUGGGGUAGAGGGAGGGAUGAUAUGGGGAGAAAAUUUGGAACUCAAAAUCUUGUGGAAG
ensembl:lncRNA